AUUACUUUGGCAGAAUAGUGUAAUGAAUUUAGAAUUCAUAAAUGUAUUGAUAUACAAGUAAUA
rnacentral:tRNA from 1 species